AGUCAGUCGGAUGUCUGAUGUCAAAGUAGUGUUGUGCGGUUUCUGCGGUUCAGUACUGUUUUUGGAACUCCACCGGGCAAAAGCACUCUCUUGGUCGUCCAAAACCGAACGAGAUGCCACCACACAGGUGUGAGAUUAUUCGUGGAACGGUGAUCAUCAAACGUUAGAAGCGCACGCCCAUCUACAACCGUACAGGUACUUCAAGAUGGCCAAUGAACCUGACACGCGUUCGACUAAAGAAAUCUCUAGUGAAACCAUUAUGAGACCACCAGCCAUGAAAAUGAAUAGAAAAAAACUGUUGUCUUUUUAUUGAUAUAUUUUUAUAAAUUAUGUAUACUUAAGCCUAAAGUAUAUUUGUAAUCGUCGUCGAAACGAUGACGGUGCGCAAUUGUUUUUGAAUUUAAAGGUCAAGUACGAUCAAAAUAAUUAACACUUAUUACCCGUUCAAAGUAUAAAUCAACUAUUAUAAUAUUACAUAUUUUUCGUUUUUUAAUAAAUAUUU